CCUACGGGGGGCUGCAGUCGAGAAUAAUUGUCAAUGGACGAAAGUCUGAACAUGCGAUGCCGCGUGCAGGAUGAAGGCCUUCGGGUCGUAAACUGCUUUUCUUAGGGAAGAAUUACGAUGACGGUACCUAAGGAAUAAGGGGUUACUAACUCUGUGCCAGCAGUAGCGGUAAUACAGAGACCCCAAGCGUUAUCCGGAUUUAUUGGGCGUAAAGCGCGGGUAGGCGGUCUUGUUAGUCAGAUGUCAAAUCCUUCGGCUCAACCGAAGAACUGCAUUUGAAACGGCAAGACUAGAGAGCGUGAGAGAUCGGUGGAAUUCACGGUGUAGUAGUGAAAUGCGUUGAUAUCGUGAGGAACACCCAAGGCGAAGGCAGCCGAUUGGCGCGCUUCUGACGCUGAGCCGCGAAAGCGUGGGUAGCGAAUGGGAUUAGAUACCCGAGUAGUC
rnacentral:rRNA from 1 species